CUGGCCAGCAUUGGGAGCUGCCCGAAGCUGCCGGGUGUUCUGAUGGGUGUGGGGCGGCUCUUCGUGGCUUGACUUGCACCCCCUGGUGGCCACCUGUGAUUUGCAUCUCUCCAGGUGUGUGGUUCUGUCACCUGCCGGUCUCAGCUGGGCAGUCCCUUGCUCUGCCCAUUGGCCUUGGCCUUGCAGGAGUGGGGAGACACUGGCAAGUCAGAGCAUCACCUAUGAGAAUGACAGCCCUCCCCGUCUGUGUCCCCACUCCCAUCUGGGCUCAGUGGUUCUCCAAAAAGUGCACCUCCCAUUUCUUCUGCCACCAGAAAACCACUUUACAGAAUGUCUGCAAGGCAGGUCUGUUGGAGAGAAGGUGCCUGCAGAAGUGGUCUGUCUCUAGGCUGGGGCGUCCCCCUCCCCUGGACCUGAGGGAGAAGCCAGAAGAAGUAUGGUCAGGACGGGGCAGUGUGGCCAGAGAAAGUGUGGCAGGGAAGGAGGCUUGGCCAAAGGCCCAUGCACCUGGACAGGGUGCUGGGUGGUCAGCGCUGAAGCUAGCUGGCUGCAUCUUACCAGGCCACGCGGGGCUGCCCCUCAGCCAGAUGCCGUCUAGCACGUGGGAGUCCUGAUAAUUGGCAGUGUGGGGCGGUUACCCUCAUGGCGGGGUAAUUGGACCCUGGAGUCCCCACAUCUGUGCAUGAGGGAAGGAAGCCAACAGCCUUCCUCCCCAAUGCCUCCUUAAGCAGCCAUCGCUCAGAGUAGGGCCAGCUGCUCUCAGGCCUGGCCGGCCAGUCAGGGAGUCAGUGGGCAGGGAGAAGUCACCUUACGGCUGUGCCGCUGGAGGACGGCCACAGAGACUCCUGCUGCUCUCCAAGGUAGGUGCCACAGGGUCUCUCCCUCUCAGUGAAGUGACCGCCGGCCCCUGGCCCAAUGGCACCAUGCCCCACCCCAUGCCCUGCCCCUGCCGUGCUCCACACGCUCCCUCUGCAC
rnacentral:lncRNA from 1 species